rnacentral:rRNA from 1 species
CAUGGAGUUUGAUCCUGGCUCAGAUUGAACGCUGGCGGAAUGCUUUACACAUGCAAGUCGAACGGUAGAGGGGGCAACCCCUUGAGAGUGGCGAACGGGUGAGUAAUAUAUCGGAACGUGCCCAGUCGUGGGGGAUAACGUAGCGAAAGUUACGCUAAUACCGCAUACGAUCUAAGGAUGAAAGCGGGGGAUCGCAAGACCUCGCGCGAUCGGAGCGGCCGAUAUCAGAUUAGGUAGUUGGUGGGGUAAAGGCUCACCAAGCCAACGAUCUGUAGCUGGUCUGAGAGGACGACCAGCCACACUGGAACUGAGACACGGUCCAGACUCCUACGGGAGGCAGCAGUGGGGAAUUUUGGACAAUGGACGAAGUCUGAUCCAGCCCAUUCCGCGUGCAGGA